rnacentral:lncRNA from 1 species
AAGAGCCUUCCCCAGCCUAGUUGCCGCUGCCUCCCUCACGGAGUGACAUGGUGCUCGGGGCUCGUCCUGUCUUUCAUUCAAACCCCCUCCGCGCCGCGCCGCCGGUGGGAGGGACCUCGGCGCGCCGCUCCCCCGGGAGGGCCGGCACAGGCCCCGCCACCGCCCCGCGCCCCCGCCCCCCGCGGCCCGGAGCUGCCCUGGGACCCGGGGAUCGGGGGAUCCCCGCGCCGCGGCUGCGUGUCCGUGGGGUGGUUCGAUCGCGGCAGCCGAAGGUCGCGGAGCCGCGGCGCCGAACGGGGAGGGCGUCGUCCUGCCGCCGCCACCGCCACCCCCCUCCGCAUCCUCUCCUAAACGGCUCCGUGCCGUCACGCAGCACUUCCUCGAGAGGCCGGGGGGCGACCCGGGGCCAGACAUAUUAAACAUAUACUUUGUUACGGCGCUUAUAUAAGACUUGCUUAUUGAAAGUUGGAACAAAAUGGAGGAAGAGGGUAAAGAGGAAACUCCCCCCUCCCGACCCCGCGUGCCUCGGGAGCACACGGAGCUCAGAAGUUACCCGCAGGCCCCGCCGCCCCGCGGGACCCGCCGGACCGUGGGCGUGCACCCGGCGGGCGGCCCAGCCUGUUUCAUAUCCUCAGAAGCCUUGCAUAUGUUGAUUUGUUCUGUGAUGUGGAAGAGAAUGGAGUGACACAACUGACCAGUGGCAGCAUCCAAAGUCAUCAAAACUGGUGGUUAUCUGUCCUCACCACCAUCAUGACAGAGUGAAGGCC